rnacentral:rRNA from 1 species
GAUGAACGCUAGCGGCAGGCCUAACACAUGCAAGUCGAACGGUAACAUUGGUGCUUGCACCAGAUGACGAGUGGCGCACGGGUGCGUAACGCGUAUACAAUCUACCUUUUACAGGGGGAUAGCCCAGAGAAAUUUGGAUUAAUACCUCAUAGUAUUAUUUAAUGGCAUCAUUAGAUAAUUAAAGAUUUAUCGGUAAAAGAUGAGUAUGCGUUCUAUUAGUUAGUUGGAGUAGUAACGGCACCCCAAGACAGCGAUAGAUAGGGGCCCUGAGAGGGGGAUCCCCCACACUGGUACUGAGACACGGACCAGACUCCUACGGGAGGCAGCAGUGAGGGAUAUUGGACAAUGGAGGCAACUCUGAUCCAGCCAUGCCGCGUGCAGGAAGACUGCCCUAUGGGUUGUAAACUGCUUUUAUACAGGAAGAAACCGCUCUACGUGUAGAGCUCUGACGGUACUGUAAGAAUAAGGAUCGGCUAACUCCGUGCCAGCAGCCGCGGUAAUACGGAGGAUCCAAGCGUUAUCCGGAAUCAUUGGGUUUAAAGGGUCCGUAGGUGGAUAAUUAAGUCAGAGGUGAAAGUCUGCAGCUCAACUGUAGAAUUGCCUUUGAUACUGGUUAUCUUGAAUUAUUAUGAAGUAGUUAGAAUAUGUAGUGUAGCGGUGAAAUGCAUAGAUAUUACAUAGAAUACCAAUUGCGAAGGCAGAUUACUAAUAAUAUAUUGACACUGAUGGACGAAAGCGUGGGGAGCGAACAGGAUUAGAUACCCUGGUAGUCCACGCCGUAAACGAUGGUUACUAGCUGUUCGGACUUCGGUCUGAGUGGCUAAGCGAAAGUGAUAAGUAACCCACCUGGGGAGUACGUUCGCAAGAAUG